CCCACUGAGUUUAAGAAUAUCAAUAAGCAGAGGAAAAGAAACUUACAAGUAUUCUCUUAGUAACAGGGAGCGAACCGGGAACAUCCUAGCCUUAGAAUCGGGCACUCCAUCAUCCGAAUUAUAGUCUAGAGAAGCGUCCUCAGUGGUGGACCGGGCAGAAAUCCCCUGGAAGGGGGCGCUAGAGAGGGUGAGAGCCCCAUUGUGCCCGGACCCUGUCGCACCAUAAGGCGCUUUCUAUGAGUUAGGUUGUUCGGGAAUGCAGCCCAAAUUGGGAGGUAAAUUCCGUCCAAGGCUAAAUAUGGGCGAGAGACCGAUAGCAAACAAGUACCGCAAGGGAAAGAUGAAAAGGACUUUGAAAAGAGAGUCCAAGAGUGCUUGAAAUUAUCAGGAGGGAAGUGGAUGAGGGCUAGGAAUGUGCCUCAGUCGGAUAUGGAACGGCGAUGAGCUGGUCUUCCAAUCGACUUAAGGCAUGGACCAGCAUUGAUUGGGGGGGCGACCAAAGAUUGGGCUCUAGAUACGCUCGUGGAACUCUAUCUCCUUGAUUGUGGUAGGCAGCGUGCACCUCCGGCAUGCUUCGGCAUCUACGCACUCCAGACGCUGGCCUGUGGGCUCCUUAUUCGACCCGUCUUGAAACAUGG
rnacentral:ncRNA from 1 species